rnacentral:sRNA from 1 species
ACAGAAAAAUUGAAAAGCUAUUUCUGUGAAAAAUUGCAUUAAAAAUCCGUAUGUUGUGCAUUUGAAGAAAAAUCUUACUUUGGUAACAAUUGUAAAAGCAAUAAUCGAAAGUGUAACAUUUAUUUGGAAUUUUUCUUCAACAAAUUUCAUUGUGCUGAACAAGAGUUACAUUUCUAGCCCCGACAAGACCAAGUUUAUUUCCUGUUGAAGUAAAGAAG